rnacentral:lncRNA from 10 species
GUGAGUACCGGCUAGUAUCGCGAGAUCAGGAAGGUGGCCGAGUGUGUCGCCGCGGCCAUCAGGCACUUCUCCUUCCUGCCCUUGUAUGAAGAAGGAUGUGUUUGCUUCCCCUUGUGCCAUGAUUGUAAAUUUCCUGAGGCCUCCUCAGCCCUGCAGAACUGGCUAGAGCAAUGUAUCUUAGGCUCACUUAAGGAAGCUGUAGAGAUGAGCCCAAGGAGGGAAACCAGAAGAGCCCCCCAGGCUCACCAGUUGUUUGUUGGCUCCCUACAAACAUGUCAUUCAAGUGGCUAAUCUUACAACAGCACAAAUUCAUCUAACCAGAAAGAGAAGAGGAGGCUCCAAAGGCACUUGACUACUGAGCAUCACCCUGGACGUGUACAAGUCUGCGUCCUUAUUGUUUUCUUCAUUGGGCCGAACUUUCUGGUCCUCAUCCAACAGCUCUUCUAUCACGUGUUCGAAAGUGUCAGCCAAUGAUGUCAAGCCUCUUGAACCUGCCUUGGGCCCAUUCACGCUCUCCAGAGUCCCAUGGGUCCGCACACCUGGAGAUACUCUAUUAUAGCAAAGAAGAAAGAUAAUUUCAUUGAGCCAUCCUGUUUUACAGUAUUGAAUUAUUACCACAAGGUACCAACCAUAUAUGCAUACUUAAUAGGGUAUUUUGUCAAAACUAUGCAUGAAGGUCAUUUGUUUGAGAUGUCAGAACAUUUUCCCGUGAGAAGAUCUCAUUGGGCAUUGAAACAGAACCACAUGCUCUUCAGACCAGCAACCGCGACUACCAAAUACUCCUCUGUCAACUCUACUUGACACCCAACAGAAUCCCUUCAAAGCCUCGUGGUCUGACACCCUAUGCUACGUGACUUGUGACCCAUCCAUUUGUCAUGUUCUUCGGGAAUGUGGCUAAGGGGCUAAGAUGUGACUUGAAAAGAAAGGUAGAACAAGAUCAUCUCAAAUUUAUUAUCAAGGAAUAGUUCAGAAAACGACUUCAGACCACAGAGACAGCAGAACAGAUGGUCCGGCAUGGAUAGAGCAUCAGACACUCACAGACUGUGCCAACAAGAGCCAUCGAGUCAAAACAGCCAAAGGAAGGAGGGUCAUGGAAUGGGUUCUCUCACACCAAACUGAUGCCCAGAGGCCCUCAGCAUGAAUAACAAAGGCAACCAGACCCACAAGCCAUACUGAGUGGAUACAAAACCUAUACCUAGGCUGACAUCCCAAAUGUGUGUGGCAAGUUAGAUGAUGAUGGCACAAAAGACAGAACACCUUGCUUCUGGCCAUUGUCAGCUCUUGGAAGAGAGCACACUUUUAGAGGAGCAGCUGCAAGGAGCCUGAGAACAAAACUGGAAAUGUCUGUUAUGAAAGCCUUCACAGGAAAUUCUGCAAGUGGCAACGUGGGUCCAUUCCGUGUGUGUCACUAGAGCUGGCGCAAGCCCAUGGCCAUGGUGAGGCAGCGUUUCCACUGGAACUAAUCUGAUACCUGCACCAGCUCUUGCAACUGUGCAGUGUUCCCACUGCAAACUACGGAUGGGGUAAAAGACUGCUCACCUCCUAUUUCUCAUCUAAUCUCACACACUCUGUUUGAUGAGGCUAUGGAGAAACAGGUCUUCUCAUACACUAAAGGUGGGAGUACAAACAAUUCAAGCCCUGUGCAGGACAAUUAGGCAAUACCUAUCAAAAUUAUACAUGAUUUUUCCUGCUGACCCAGCAAUUCCACUUCUGGGAAUAAUUGACAGAUAUAGGUGCAUAUGUACAAAAUGAUGGAAAGCUCUCUGGUAUAUAUUAGUAAGUGAUAAAACAAGGUGUAAAAUAGUGUAUAUAUGGCUACUACCUUUUGUUUUAAAAAUGGGGGAAAAUGGUGGAGCUUGCGGUGAGCCGAGAUCGUGCCACUGCACUCCAGCCUGGGCGACAGAGCGAGACUCCGUCUCAAAAAAAAAACAGGGUGGGGUGGGGGGGAAAUAAUAGUACAUACUCAUAUUUACCUGUAUCUAUAUAAAACACACUAUCAAGGAUUCACAAGAAACUAAUACAAAUGAUCACCUUAUAGAUGGUAUGUAUUGGGGGAUACUGAGGUGAGCAGGGUAUAAGUGGGGCAAGACUUUUCAGUGUAAACUUCUUUUAAAUUUUAUUUUGAUUUUUGAAUAAUGUAAAUUAACUGUCAAAUAAUUAAAUUAAAAAUAACCAAUUUAUUAACAAAA